rnacentral:lncRNA from 1 species
UCAAAUAAGACCAAAGGAACCAUAGUCACCGCCCUGCCAAGAUCUUUCCACAUUUUUUGCAUGUUACUGAAAAAGACCUAGAAUUUCGCCCGAUUCCCAUAUUUUCGUGUGCUAUACCCACGCAUUCCGAGUGGUCCCAAGAGCCGCGAACCCCGAUCGCCUAAAAUUUGUCCGGGCAAUCAAAUACGACCUAAGGAACCAUAGUAUCCACCCUGCCAUGAUCGUUCCUUAAUUUUUGCGUUUUUCGGCCAAACAACUAGAAUUCCGCGCGAUUCCCGUAUUUUUGUGUGUAUAGCCCACACCUUCCGAGUGGUCCCGGGACCUCCGGACCCCUAUCGCCUAAAAUUUUUCCGGACUAUCAAAUAUGACCUAAGGAACCAUAGUAACCACCCCGCCAUCAUCGUUUCUUACUUUUUGCAUUUUUCGGCCAAAAAACUAGAAUUACGCCCGAUUCCUAUAUUUUCGUGUGCUAUACCCACGCCUUCCAAGUGGUCCGGGG